CCUGGGUGGCUGCAGUGGGGAAUAUUGCACAAUGGGGGAAACCCUGAUGCAGCGACGCCGCGUGGGUGACGAAGUAUUUCGGUAUGUAAAGCCCUAUCAGCAGGGAAGAAGAUGACAGUACCUGACUAAGAAGCCCCGGCUAACUACGUGCCAGCAGCCGCGGUAAUACGUAGGGGGCAAGCGUUAUCCGGAUUUACUGGGUGUAAAGGGAGCGUAGGUGGCAUGGCAAGCCAGAAGUGAAAUCCUACGGCUUAACCGUAGAACUGCAUCUAAAACUGUGAGGCUGGAGUGCAGGAGAGGUGAGUGGAAUUCCUAGUGUAGCGGUGGAAUGCGUAGAUAUUAGGAGGAACACCAGAGGCGAAGGCGACUCACUGGACUGUAACUGACGCUGAGGCUCGAAAGCGUGGGGAGCAAACAGGAUUAGAUACCCUUGUAGUC
rnacentral:rRNA from 1 species